UUGAUUUAUAAGUCUCUUGGGAAAUCUCACGGCUUAACUGUGAGGCGUCUAAGAGAUACUGGGAAUCUAGGGACCGGGAGAGGUAAGAGGUACUUCAGGGGUAGAAGUGAAAUUCUGUAAUCCUUGAGGGACCACCGAUGGCGAAGGCAUCUUACCAGAACGGCUUCGACAGUGAGGAACGAAAGCUGGGGGAGCGAACGGGAUUAGAUACCCCGGUAGUCCCAGCCGCAAACUAUGCGCGUUAGGUGUGCCUGUAACUACGAGUUACCGGGGAGCCGAAGUGAAAACGUGAAACGUGCCGCCUGGGAAGUACGGUCGCAAGGCUGAAACUUAAAGGAAUUGGCGGGGAGCACCACAACGGGUGGAGCCUGCGGUUUAAUUGGACUCAACGCCGGGCAGCUCACCGGAUAGGACAGCGGAAUGAUAGCCGGGCUGAAGACCUUGCUUGACCAGCUGAGAGGAGGUGCAUGGCCGUCGUCAGUUCGUACUGUAAAGCAUCCUGUUUAGUCAGGCAACGAGCGAGACCCACGCCAACAGUUGCUAGCAUGUUCUCCGGAAUGAUGAGGACACUGUUGGGACCGCCAGUGAUAAAUUGGAGGAAGGAGUGGACGACGGU
rnacentral:rRNA from 1 species